AGAGUUUGAUCCUGGCUCAGAUUGAACGCUGGCGGCAGGCCUAACACAUGCAAGUCGAGCGGUAACAGGAAUUAGCUUGCUAAUUUGCUGACGAGCGGCGGACGGGUGAGUAAUGCCUGGGAAUAUGCCUUAGUGUGGGGGAUAACUAUUGGAAACGAUAGCUAAUACCGCAUAACGUCUUCGGACCAAAGAGGGGGACCUUCGGGCCUCUCGCGCUAAGAUUAGCCCAGGUGGGAUUAGCUAGUUGGUGAGGUAAAGGCUCACCAAGGCAACGAUCCCUAGCUGGUCUGAGAGGAUGAUCAGCCACACUGGAACUGAGACACGGUCCAGACUCCUACGGGAGGCAGCAGUGGGGAAUAUUGCACAAUGGGGGAAACCCUGAUGCAGCCAUGCCGCGUGUAUGAAGAAGGCCUUCGGGUUGUAAAGUACUUUCAGUCGUGAGGAAGGGUCUGUAGUUAAUAGCUGCAUGCCUUGACGUUAGCGACAAGAAGAAGCACCGGCUAACUCCGUGCCAGCAGCCGCGGUAAUACGGAGGGUGCGAGCGUUAAUCGGAAUUACUGGGCGUAAAGCGCAUGCAGGCGGUCUGUUAAGCAAGAUGUGAAAGCCCGGGGCUCAACCUCGGAACCGCAUUUUGAACUGGCAGACUAGAGUCUUGUAGAGGGGGGUAGAAUUUCAGGUGUAGCGGUGAAAUGCGUAGAGAUCUGAAGGAAUACCGGUGGCGAAGGCGGCCCCCUGGACAAAGACUGACGCUCAGAUGCGAAAGCGUGGGGAGCAAACAGGAUUAGAUACCCUGGUAGUCCACGCCGUAAACGAUGAGUGCUAAGUGUUAGGGGGUUUCCGCCCCUUAGUGCUGCAGCUAACGCAUUAAGCACUCCGCCUGGGGAGUACGACCGCAAGGUUGAAACUCAAAGGAAUUGACGGGGGCCCGCACAAGCGGUGGAGCAUGUGGUUUAWUUCGAAGCAACGCGAAGAACCUUACCAGGUCUUGACAUCCCACUGACCGGCUUAGAGAUAGGCUUUUCCCUUCGGGGACAGUGGUGACAGGUGGUGCAUGGGUUGUUCGUCAGCUCSUGUCSUGAGAUGUUGGGUUAAGUCCCGCAACGAGCGCAACCCUUGAUUUUAGUUGCCAGCAUUCAGUUGGGCACUCUAAGGUGACUGUCGGUGAUAAACCGGAGGAAGGUGGGGAUGACGUCAAAUCAUCAUGCCCCUUAUGACCUGGGCUACACACGUGCUACAAUGGACGAUACAAAGGGCUGCAAACCCGCGAGGGGGAGCCAAUCCCAUAAAAUCGUUCUCAGUUCGGAUUGUAGGCUGCAACUCGCCUACAUGAAGCCGGAAUCGCUAGUAAUCGUGGAUCAGCAUGCCACGGUGAAUACGUUCCCGGGCCUUGUACACACCGCCCGUCACACCACGAGAGUUUGUAACACCCGAAGUCGGUGAGGUAACCUUUACAGGAGCCAGCCGCCGAAGGUGGGACAGAUGAUUGGGGUGAAGUCGUAACAAGGUAACC
rnacentral:rRNA from 1 species